rnacentral:rRNA from 1 species
GAAGANAGAGUUCAAGAGUACGUGAAACCGUCUGGGAGUAAACGGGUGGUUCCCGAAAGUGCGAAAGGGGAGAUUCAGGUCUCGCCGCGCGCCGGGCCGCGCCCGCGACAAGGGAUGGCGUUCUCGCGGCCGUGGGGCGACCCACGGUCCGGGANNNGCGCCACCCCGCGGGCGCGGUCUGUCCCGGCGCCGGAGUGACGCACUUCUCCCCCGGUAGAACGUCGCGAUCCGUCGGUCGCCGGCCUAAGGCCCCUGGAGGAGCCGAGCGCGGUUCGNCCGCGCCCGACCCAGGGGAUCCCGGCCGGGUGGCCGACGGUACGAAGAGAGGAAGGAGUCGGCGCGCCUCUCCGUAGGCGUCCGCCCCUCCGCAAGCACCCGCGGGAGUCGGAGGUCCGGGCCCGGCCCGGCCUCCUUCUUCAACGGGGCUGUUUGCGUUCAGGAGGUGNGCUCGGAC